UGGGGAAUUUUGGACAAUGGGCGCAAGCCUGAUCCAGCCAUACCGCGUGAGUGAAGAAGGCCUUCGGGUUGUAAAAUCCUUUCGUGGGGGACGAUAAUGACGGUACCCCAAGAAGAAGCUCCGGCUAACUUCGUGCCAGCAGCCGCGGUAAUACGAAGGGGGCUAGCGUUGUUCGGAUUUACUGGGCGUAAAGCGCGUGUAGGCGGGUCGUUAAGUUGGGGGUGAAAUCCCGAGGCUCAACCUCGGAACUGCCUUCAAAACUGGCGACCUGGACCCAAGUAGAGGCAAGUGGAAUUGCGAGUGUAGAGGUGAAAUUCGUAGAUAUUCGCAGGAACACCAGUGGCGAAGGCGGCUCACUGGACGCGUAUUGACGCUGAGGUACGAAAGCGUGGGGAGCAAACAGGAUUAGAUACCCCCGUAGUCCCUGAGCGGGCUGGCAAGGCGCAU
rnacentral:rRNA from 1 species